rnacentral:rRNA from 1 species
CUUGAACGCUGGCGGCAGGCCUAACACAUGCCAGUCGAGCGAGCGGCGGACGGGUGAGUAAUGUCUGGGACACUGCCUGAUGGAGGGGGAUAACUACUGGCAACGGUAGCUAAUACCGCAUACCAUCAGAUGUGCCCCGAUGGGAUUAGCUCGUGGGUGGGGUAAUGGCUCACCUAGGCGCCGAUCCCUAGCUGGUCUGAGAGGAUGACCAGCAACACUGGAACUGAGACACGGUCCAGACUCCGACGGGAGGCAGCAGUGGGGAAUAUUGCACAAUGGGCGCAAGCCGGAUGCAGCCAUGCCGCGGGUGUGAAGAAGGCCUUCGGGUUGUAAAGCACUUUCAGCGGGGAGGCGUUACCCGCAGAAGAAGCACCGGCUAACUCCGUGCCAGCAGCCGCGGUAAUAC